rnacentral:rRNA from 1 species
GACGAACGCUGGCGGCGUGCUUAACACAUGCAAGUCGAACGGUAAGGCCCUUCGGGGUACACGAGUGGCGAACGGGUGAGUAACACGUGCGUGAUCUGCCCUGCACUUCGGGAUAAGCCUGGGAAACUGGGUCUAAUACCGGAUAGGACUCCGGACUGCAUGGUCUGGGGUGGAAAGCUUUUGCGGUGUGGGAUGGGCCCGCGGCCUAUCAGCUUGUGGGUGGGGGGAUGGCCUACCAAGGCGACGACGGGUAGCCGGCCUGAGAGGGUGACCGGCCACACUGGGACUGAGAUACGGCCCAGACUCCUACGGGAGGCAGCAGUGGGGAAUAUUGCACAAUGGGCGCAAGCCUGAUGCAGCGACGCCGCGUGAGGGAUGACGGCCUUCGGGUUGUAAACCUCUUUCAGCAUCGACGAAGCGAAAGUGACGGUAGGUGCAGAAGAAGGACCGGCCAACUACGUGCCAGCAGCCGCCGUAA